UCAGCCUGCUGAAUCUGAAUGAAGCCUAGAUUGCGAUCAAUACUUGAUCUUUCUUCUUGAUCUUUCUCUUCUCCUCUUCUCUAGAGUUUCUCCUUACUAUGUGCUGCUACCAGAUGCUAAAAAUUAGUAAAGAAGAGGCAUCCAAACUCCUCUGGAUGUGAAACUCCAUGGGAUGCGUGUCCCAAGGAAGGGGUGUAUAGAACACCCAAGAGAAGAGAAAG
rnacentral:lncRNA from 1 species